UCGCACCACUGCACUGCAGCCUAGGCCAGAAGAGUGAAGCUCCAUCUCAAAAAAAAUUAAAAUUAAAAAUCAGUAAAAAACAUUUAAUACAAGAUGAAUAUACAAAAAUUAGUAACUUCUCACUCCUCUAGCAAUAAUCACUUGGGAAUUAAAGAAAAAAAAAGAGCCAAAAUAUUCCAUUUGCCAUGGCAACUGAGUAGUUGGGGUGAAGGUUAGGAUGCUGUAAGGAGCAGCUCCGGGCAUGGGGAACUCGAUGGAGGCAUCAUUUCUCUCUCACAUGGUGGCUGAGAACGGCUGGGUGGGCUGCUCUGUCACCACACAUGGGGUCCCCCAAUCAUGCCUCUCCUCUAGCCUUCUAGGCAUCUUUCCUGGCUGCGAGGUUCCAAUGGGUGCAGAAGUGCCCACGUCCAGCUGGCAGGAGGGGCCUGGGCAGGGAAAGGAGGGUAGAGGCCAUGUUUUCCAAGACCACAUGUGAGACAUGGCCCAUGUUGCCACAUGCGUUCCGUGGUUAGCCCUUGGUGAGGGCCUGGCCUGGCUGGAAGAUGGGCUUGCUGCGCAGGGACAGGCAACGCCAUCGCAGGAGAAGGGGCCGGAGCUGGCAGGAACAGUGUCUCCAGGUGACAAAAGCCUCCGACAAUUUUGCAAGAAAGGUGGGGGUGGGCGUGAGAGGACGCAGGGCCCCCACCGCUCAAGCAAGGAGAGCAGGGAGCAGAGCCACGGAGAAGGCCCAGCCGGGAGCCUCUCCUGCCAACCUGAAGCCCAGCCUCCAGGUUCCAUGAAAUCACCUCCAGUUAUCCCAGGAGAAAGGUGCAUGGCCUAGGAAAGAAAAAACAGGCAGCUUGGACCCAGGCUCCAAUCCCGGCCACCAGUUACCAGACAGGGGCAGCCACAUCGCGUCUGUGUGCCUCAGUUUCUACAUCUGCGGCUGCAGUGAUGGUUGUGCCCGCCCAGUGGGGCUGCUGUGAGUUAAGGGGUGAGAGACAGAGACGCUUCCCUGUCCACUGUCUCCAACACGUUCUUCCUGGUCACCCCUCACUGAACACCCCAGAGACCAGGCAGGCGCCAUGGACAGUUGAGAAGGCAUCCAGCCUGCAGAACGGAGUCCAGGACCCAGAGAAGCUUCAGGGAAGACGUCCUGUGCCUGUUAGCAGCCACUCCCCGCCACGGUUUGAGUGCGGCCACAACAGAACGCCAGACAGCAGUUUAUCAACAGAGACUUCCUGCCUCCCAGUCUGGAGGCCAAGGUCCCAGCAGGGCCAUGUCGGGUUCUCCUCUUUCACGACCGUCCCUCGCACACGGCAUCCUCACCGGCUGGAGGGUGGGCCUGCCCCACAAGCCCUUUUCAUAGUGGCUUUAGUCACAAGGGCUCUGCCUCGUGAGUGGAUCAGACACCUCCCAUCAGGCGCCACCUCCUGGCACUGCCCGGGGUCUAAGUUUCCGCCUGAGCUUUAGAGGAUGCAAGCAUUCCAACCACAGCACUGCAUGCGGGGCCCAGUACUCCCCCCGUCACAUACAAAAUCGUAUGAGUCAGCGUUCUCUAGAGGGACAGGACUCAUAGGAGACAUGAACAGGGGAUGAUCUUGGACUCCCUGCCCACCUUCCAGACACACGGGGACAGGGCUGGGCCCCCACGGCUUUGCUGGGCUCAGCCCACUCAGGGUGCGGGGGUUGGAGUCUCCUGCCUGCCGCUCUCCCAGGCUGCGCUUGGUCAUUGGUGGCCCUGCGGUCCUGGGGUCUUGGAGGCAGUCCCCGCCCCCUUGCCUCGGCUCCACUGGGCAUUGCCCCGCUGGGGAUUCCGAGGUAGCUCCACCCCAAUGAUGAGCCUCUGCCUGGGCCUCAAGACUGUCAGCAACAUCCUUUGAAAUCUGGGUGGAGGCCACCGUCGCCUGCAGGGUCAGUACCGUGUGCAUGCCACCAAGCCCACCGCAUACGCCUUCAGGAGCAACAGGUGGAGCUGCGCCUGCGCCUGCCUGAGCCAUGGUGGGGGCAGCCAAGGAGGGCUGGGCCAGGAUCUGGGGAGACCCAGGCAGGCAGUGAGCUCUGUGGUCCCAAAGGUGCCCCAGAGGCCCAUCCCUUGCCAUGAUUCUGCCCUCAGGGCCCUUAUAAAAGGGCUGGAAGGAACUAGCUUGGCUGUUUUUCCUCCGAGUUCUGCCAUGUGAGGCUGGAUAUGCCAUCGGAGCUGCCCUCAGUAGACCCCAGCCUGCCAGUGCCUGGAUUCUUGGACUCCGCAGCUUGAGAACUACAGGAAAUAAAUUUCUGUUGCUU